GUAAAGGGAGGUGAAGACACUGCACAAUAGCAAUUUGCAAAGGUUUUCCAGGCGACCGCCAAAGGAAUUGAAGAUGGAGGGGAGGGAGAGAAGAGAAGAGACGUGAACGCUCCCUGAAAGCAUUCACAUCUGAUGGCACAAGUCUAUUGGGAACGUGUAUGGAACAGAACAGAAUAUGACCUAAUUUGAAAGAGGCUGCAGUUCAUCGGCAGGAGGGAUUUAAACACUGUUCAGACUGACAUUUUCCCUCAUCUCGCAUCCCGUGGGGUACCUGAUUGCAAAUUUAUAAUCCACCAGAGGUCUUGCCAUCAGAAGAUACAGACUUACAGUAACAGCAACUAAUUUUUAAAAGAUCUCCAGCGCAUCAGUGUCUAGGGCUGGUUUACACAGACUAAUUAAUCCUUAUUUGACCUGAAUUAACUCUUAAUCUGUGUGAAAUGAAAGAGCUUUACUGGGAUACGGCAAAUUUUAGAAGAUGGGAAAAUCCUUUCUGUGCACGAGGCUUCUGCCUCUGGGUGACACAGAUUAAAAGAGGUGCUGGGUUGCUGCUGGAAAUUAGCUCCUUCCUUUUUAUUUUUUUCCCUUUCUCCUUUCUCCAACCAGAACAUGCAGGAGAGGAGACAUUGUUCGUCUUUCUUCAGCACGAAGCAGAGGAAGGUUAUAUCAUUAAAAGACACUCUGGGGUUUGAAUUAAAUGUCAAAUAUGGUUUUUGUUGACAAUACAAAGCCCAGUGUUGGAACAAAAACUGACAGUUCCUACCCUGGGCCCCAGAUUAAUAUUAGGCCAAUAAUCAGAUUUCACACUGGCUGGAACAGGGAUGGAUUACUAUCUGGUAGAUUAGCACAGCCACCCCGUGACCCCUUUCUGCUCUGCUGGUUCAAGGGUAUUUGUACAAGAGAUAGAGAACGGCAGUACUACACCAUCAGUAGCUUAUGCUACAGGCUGCCUGAGGCAGGAGGUGUCUUUCUAUUCUGCAUUUGUACAGCACCAGACACAAAGAAGUUCUGGUCCAGAAGUAGGGCUCUAGUAACAAUCAAAGGGGACAAGAUAGUUUAUCCGCUCAAGAAGAGCAUGCAUCAAAUUGAUAAUA